rnacentral:SRP_RNA from 1 species
GCUGGGUGUGGUGGCUCACGCCUGUAAUCCCAGCAUUUUGGGAGGCUGAGGCGGGUGGAUCACUUGAGGUCAGGAGUUCGAGACCAGCCUGGCCAACAUGGAGAAACCCCGUCUCUA